rnacentral:lncRNA from 10 species
CUAUGGAGUUGGAUGAAUGGAAAAGAAUUGGCAGAGAAUUUAAAAAGGCAUAUAAAGACGGAGCCAAAAUUCCAGUUUCUGUUUGGUCAGUGCAGGCAUUGAUAAAGGCAGCUCUUGGGGCACUUCAAACAGAUGACAAGGCAGAUUCAGAAGAGGAAGAGGCAGACUAGUGUAAAAAACUAACUUCAGAUUCUGAAUGUGAGGAACAGCAACUGGAGGAAAUUAAAGAAAACAAAGGGAAACUGAAAAAGCUCACCAGACUGUACAAGAAGUGUGUGUCAGCAUCUGCUUCUGAUGAGGAUUUCAGGAAGCUUAAAAUCAUGGUGGAAGACGGAGUCUCACUUUUUUGUCCUGGCUAGACCACAGUGCUGCAAUCUCAUCUCACUGCAACCUCUGCCUCCUGGGUUCAAGCGAUUCUUCUGCCUUAGCCUCCCGGGUAGCUGGGACCACAGGCAGGCUCCACCAUGCCUGGCUAAAAUUUUUGUAUUUUUAGUAGAGACAGGGUUUCACCAUAUAGGCCAAGCUGGUCUCAAACUCCUGACCUCAUGAUCUGCACGCUUAGGCCUCCCAAAGUGCUGGGAUUAUAGAUGUGAGACACCGUGCCUGGCUAUAGUUGCAAUUUUUUAAAAUGCUACAUACAUUAUGACUAGUUCAUUAAAAUUAUUCAUACUUAGAUACUUAUACCUAAUAUCCAAAGAAAAUUUACUACCAAAUUGUUACAGUAGAUAUUAGUGUGACAUGUUUAUUACUUUAUUCAAUAGGGAUAAUUAUGAAUUAACACAACUUUAGUAUCUUUUAUUGCACUAAAUUGGAAUGCUGCUAUUACAGGAAAAAUAAAGACAGGUGAUGUGGCCACCCAAAACCAAUAAUAGCUAUUCAGUUAACUAUGUUACAAGUUCUUUUAUUUUUAUUUUUUUUUUUGAGAUGGAGUUUCACUCUGUCACCCAGGCUGGAGUGCAGUGGCAUGAUCUCGGCUCACUGCAACCUCCACCCUCCAGGUUCAAAUGAUUCUCCUUCCUCAGCCUCCUGAGUAGCUGGGACUACAGGCGCCUGCCACCGUGCCUGGCUACUUUUUUGUAUUUUUAGUAGAGAUGGGGUUUCACCAUCUUGGCCAGGCUGGUCUUGAACUCCUGACCUCGUGAUCCACCCACCUCUGCCUCCCAAAGUGCUGGGAUUACAGGCGUGAGCCACCACGCCCAGCCUACAAGUUCUAAUAUAUUCCACUCUAUGAAAACAGUCAGAUUCUAUUUCUUCAUCAAAAAGUGUUGUUGGAAGUUGUCAGAUGUAUUUCAAUAUAGAACUCCAUUCACUGGCUAGGAGAUGAGAGAGCACCAAAGAUGGAAAAAAAACUUUAUAAAAUUCUUCUGAAAAUCUGCCUUCUUUCUUCCUGAAGCUCAUGUUUCUCAUGCUGAGAGUAGCUGUGCACUUUGGGUGUUUAGAGAGAAAUUGCUUUUAGGGGAAUAUUUUUUGACUGACUUGAUCAAUCAUAUCUAAUCUGAGCUUUUUCUUAAGAUCUUUAUAAUAUUUUUCUAUGAAAAUAAUCUUGCUCAGAUCAAGAUCUCAUUUUUCUCUCCAAUGCUUUGGGUGUGUGUUUCAGAAGCCCUAUUAGUGUCCCAUGGUGUCAGAUUAAGGUGGGCUGUCACAAUGAGAAUUUUUGCAGCUAUCACUAUCUGGACUCAUGCUGAAAAUUCAGCUUUAUCUUUUCCUUGUCAUCUCUAUACGUAGAAAUUGACGCUGAAACACUGCUCACAUUCUCAUGAUUGUGAAGGUGUAAUUCUACCCAGGAGGCCUGCAGGCUCUCCUCCUGCAGCUCAGGCCUCACUCUCUGAUGUGACACUAGAGUGCUGCUGUGGCAAAUAGGAUUCACAUAAAAUGUGAGCUGUGGUUUGUGCCUCAGUGGCAGAUGGUAGAGGCCAAGAGAGGACACUAGCAACCAGGAGAAAGCAAGCAGGAGUGCUGUAGCCCAGUGCCAGGGAGUACAGAGCCACUGCUCUAAAAUGUAAGUAGCCAAAAAGAUAGAACACUAUUCAACCAUUUUUGUAGCAGAGUGAAAGCCUACCUUCAGCAGGCACCUGGCUUCAAGCUGCUAAACUACAUCCUAUUAUGAAGAUGUGAAAAGUUUUUGUCAUUGAAUAUAAGUAAUUAGCAUACACAGAUGGCCUCUUCAGUAUCCAGGUGAAUUUAGGAUGAACUAUGUAUGACAUGGUGCUGGAAAUUCUUCUACUUGUGGCCUAAUUAUAGUGACCAUCUUUCCGUCUCUUAAGCAGAUUGAUGAAGAUCCGUGUCACAUUCAAGUUCAAUUGUGUAAUAAAACAGUUUCUUUCUAUUCUAUUAUUGUGGAGUUUCUCUGGGGUGGAGAAAAAUUUUCAUUUAAUUAUUGUUUCCAAACACUGUCUAGAAUUACCAGACAUGAUAUAAACACAUAAGGUGACAUCCAGAAUUUACUCUAGAGGAGACUUUCCCUCUCAGGCUUCCAGUCAGCUCAGAGUUGUGCAGCAAAGUGCAUGCUGUCCCCUAAAUAUGCAGGCAGAAUUGUGUCUCUGCCUAGUUGGCAUUCAUAGUCCUCUGCAGUCACUUCUAGAGAGGCUAGAUCACAUUUCUACAAACUUCACAGGGCAGCAAUCAAUCAUUUUACCUCUUUCACUGACUCUUGUAUCUUCAGACUGGAACUGAUACAGAAACUAUUUGGCCCAGAAACCCAAUCAGAGUAACGUGUGUGCAUUGAGUAGACAUAUAGACAUGAGAAUCUCCACUUUCCCCUUCCUCCUCUUGCCAAAGUGCUCACAAAUGUACAGGUAACACCUGCUGCUACUCCAGCCAUUCAGGCCCUAAAUGUGCAGCUCCAAAUUUUGAAUUUAGAUCUUGAGAUUUGGGAAAUAAAAAACUUUUAUCUAAAAAAUGCAAGUCCUUUUGGUUAUCAAAUUCAGAGAGAUGAAAAUAAAAGUGCAGUUAUUUCUCCCCUCUUUGAACUAUGUAUUCAUGUCUUGAAACUGUUCACUAUUGCCACAAGUAGCUAUAAAUUAAACUAAUAAUGCCACAUUGGACACUAUAUCCCAUACCCUAAACCAUAACGAUAUAUAUCUAAUCAAUAAUCAAUGCUAUUUCUGUAAAUAAAUAAACAUUUCUGACAAACAACUUUGUAUUAUCUUUUAAUGGUAGGUUGUAUUGACAUUUUUGAAAAAUAAAAUUUUUUGACCCCUGAGCAAAAAUAUAUUGAAGUGUUUUAUAUAUACAUAUUUUUGAACUUUCCAGUUUGACUUUUGCUUUUAAUUCCUAGUUUAAUUCAGUUUUUGUUAGAAAAUACACAGUGUAUGGCCGGGCGUGGUGGCUCAUGCCUGUAAUCCCAGUACUUUCAGAGGCCGAGGCAGGCAGAUCACCUGAGGUCAGGAGUUUGAGAUCAGCCUCAACAUGGAGAAACCCCAUCUCUACUAAAAAUACAAAAUUAGCCUGGUGUGGUGGUGCAUGCCUGUAAUCCCAGCUACUUGGG